rnacentral:rRNA from 1 species
GACGAACCGUCCAAACGUUAUUCGGAAUCACUGGGCUUAAAGGGCGCGUAGGCGGAUGAGCAAGUCCGGCGUGAAAUCCUUCGGCUUAACCGGAGAAGUGCUUUGGAUACUGCUUGUCUUGAGGGAGGUAGGGGCAUGUGGAACUUCUGGUGGAGCGGUGAAAUGCGUUGAUAUCAGAAGGAACGCCGGUGGCGAAAGCGACGUGCUGGCCCUCUUCUGACGCUGAGGCGCGAAAGCUAGGGGAGCAAACGGG